GGGCCCGCACAAGCGGUGGAGCAUGUGGUUUAAUUCGACGCAACGCGAAGAACCUUACCUGGUCUUGACAUCCUGCGAACUUUCUAGAGAUAGAUUGGUGCCUUCGGGAACGCAGUGACAGGUGCUGCAUGGCUGUCGUCAGCUCGUGUCGUGAGAUGUUGGGUUAAGUCCCGUAACGAGCGCAACCCUUGUCCUUAUUUGCCAUCAUUUAGUUGGGCACUCUAGGGAGACUGCCGGUGACAAACCGGAGGAAGUGGGGGACGACGUCAAGUCAUCAUGGCCCUUACGACCAGGGCUACACACGUGCUACAAUGGGCGUACAAAGGGUUGCAAUCCCGCGAGGG
rnacentral:rRNA from 1 species